rnacentral:rRNA from 1 species
AUUGAACGCUGGCGGCAGGCCUAACACAUGCAAGUCGAGCGGAUGACGGGAGCUUGCUCCUUGAUUCAGCGGCGGACGGGUGAGUAAUGCCUAGGAAUCUGCCUGGUAGUGGGGGACAACGUUUCGAAAGGAACGCUAAUACCGCAUACGUCCUACGGGAGAAAGCAGGGGACCUUCUGGCCUUGCGCUAUCAGAUGAGCCUAGGUCGGAUUAGCUAGUUGGUGGGGUAAUGGCUCACCAAGGAGACGAUCCGUAACUGGUCUGAGAGGAUGAUCAGUCACACUGGAACUGAGACACGGUCCAGACUCCUACGGGAGGCAGCAGUGGGGAAUAUUGGACAAUGGGCGAAAGCCUGAUCCAGCCAUGCCGCGUGUGUGAAGAAGGUCUUCGGAUUGUAAAGCACUUUAAGUUGGGAGGAAGGGCAGUAAGCUAAUACCUUGCUGUUUUGACGUUACCGACAGAAUAAGCACCGGCUAACUCUGUGCCAGCAGCCGCAGUAAGAC